UACAGAGACUGCAAGCGUUGUUCGGAUUCACUGGGCGUAAAGGGUGCGCAGGCGGCCAAGUGUGUGAGGCGUGAAAGCCUGGGGCUUAACCCCAGAAUUGCACCUCAAACUACUUGGCUAGAGCAUUGGAGAGGGUAGCAGAAUUCAUGGUGUAGCAGUGAAAUGCGUAGAUAUCAUGAGGAAUACCAGAGGCGAAGGCGGCUACCUGGACAAUUGCUGACGCUCAGGCACGAAAGCGUGGGGAGCAAAAGGG
rnacentral:rRNA from 1 species